AUCGCUUCUCGGCCUUUUGGCUAAGAUCAAGUGUAGUAUCUGUUCUUAUCAGUUUAAAUAUAGUUAAGUGAAAUAAGCCAGUCCCAGGCCCGGGAGGAGCCUGCAACCAAGGUACAUGCUCUUGACUGGAAUCGAACCCAGGACCCUUU
rnacentral:snRNA from 1 species